ensembl:lncRNA
UUUGCUUUAUAAUUUCCAUUUUUCCUGUCUGGGUUUCUCUCAUUCUCUUCUGCAGGAAAUGGAUCACUCCAGAAGCACAUUUAAACCCCCUUUGAAUCUGAUGUGCUAGCAAAUGGUACGAGCCCCAGUGUAGAAAAGCCAUUAACUCCAUAGUAAGAGCUCUCUCUCUCUCUCUCUCUCUCUCUCUCUCUCUCUCAUUUCGAGGGACUCUAGAGCAGAUGUGAGGAUGUUCAGAAUAUAAGACUGUAAUGACCCUGUUGAGAAGUCAGCAUCGCAGUCUUCAGUAGCGCACUUGUGCUGUCUUUCUUAUUUAGACGAAAGCAUGACGGGAGUUUUGCGACCCUCCAAACAGAGAUCCGGUAUGAAGCGACCUCGAAAUGAGCCUUACAGGGUUUUCGACUAUCAGGAUACUCCAACUAUCCCGUGUGACUUUGCAUCUUUUCGACGGAUGUGUUCAUCACCCUCUUCGUCUUCUGCAGCCCUGCGGCAAAGCAGAGAAAAACCUCAGAGCAGACACAAGUCCAGGAGCAGAGGAAUCCAGCUAAGAAUGGAGGAGCUGGUGUGCAUUAAGAAAGAACUGACAGUGAUUAAAUCACAGAUAGAUGAGCUGCUGGACAGUCUGGAGCGGAUGGACCCUCAAAGCCAAGAGUUGUCCGAAGACGGUGUGGCAUUCUCUCCACUCCAUGGCUCUGUGAGCAGUGCGGACGAUUUGUCUGGUAGCCCUCUUCCCCUGAGGACAGACAGAGACACACAGAGCCCACAGACUGCAGACAGCAGUGAUGAAGACAGAGAGCAUGUAAGCACAUACACAACACACACACACACACACACACACACACACACACACACACACACACACACACACACACAAUGGCUAAUGCUCUACUCUUACUCAAACACUUAGGAACAAUUUGAUUAAUAUAAUCGUGAGACCAGAUUAAAUCAAACAUACCCAUAUUGACCAAGAUGGCGGCGCAUACACAUCGCGAGGCUCAGCGUCUCCCCAGUUUGUGCAAUUUUGCAGUAUUUUUCCUGCUCAUCUCGGGUCUGUUCAUACAGAACAGCUUUGCUUUAACAUCCUACACCCGACAGGAGCUUUUGGAUAUUGGUGAGGACUUUUCCAACAGUUUUAUCACCAGUCUUCGACUCAUCCCUGAGAUCUCCAGAACAGCCGAGGCUACGCACUCUACCCGGCCGGGCGGAAGUGCUCACAGGCGGCGGCGAGAUUGUAAACAAAGGCGGGGGAAGCGCGGAGGUCGUGAAAUUGCAUAGACAUGAACAGCCAUCAAUCACUUAAAUUAACCCUUGCAUUGAGUUCCUCAAUGAGGUUAAAAUUAUAUUAGAUUCACCAGUACAGAUCAGAGUCUGGAGGUACGUUACUUGUGAUGCCUGUGUAACGGGGUUCCCUUUGUUGUCGCUGAAAAGGGGGGUUUCCCGAGGUUGCUGAUUGGCUGGAAGUUCAGUAGUCGUUGAAGUGACGUCUUGGGAAGCCCAUGGUUGGGCGUUGGCUGACGAUGCGGAGUUGUGGGCUGGCUGAAGUUUCAGACGGGCACGCGAGGUCAGACUUGGAGACACGGCAUUACAAAACUUAACUCAGAACCCGAAACUCCCAACGGAAAAGAAAAGAAACUAAAGUAAAAGAACAGAAGUAAAGCUUGACGAGACUAGGUGGUGUUUCUUCUCAUCGUGGCUAAGUAGCAGCAGGCGUGCAGGCCGAAGCACGCUGGAACCGCGCUCAAAGAACACUAAAAGUGAUGACAAAAAGCAUGACUAAAAGCUUAAACUACAAGCAAAAGCUAAAAGCAGGCUAAAAGCCGGCAUGACUGAUAGCAAAAGCUAAAUGCAAGCUAAAAGCUUGACUAAAAGCUAACGCUAAAAAGCCAAAGCUAAAAGCAAGAUUUGAU